GGACUACACGGGUUUCUAAUCCUGUUUGCUCCCCACGCUUUCGCGUCUUAGCGUCAGUCACCGUCCAGAGGGCCGCCUUCGCCACCGGUGUUCCUCCUGAUAUCUACGCAUUUCACCGCUACACCAGGAAUUCCACCCUCCUCUCCGGGACUCGAGUCCGCCAGUUUCCAAUGCACUUCCGGGGGUGAGCCCCGGGCUUUCACAUCAGACUUAGCGAACCGCCUACACGCCCUUUACGCCCAGUGAUUCCGAACAACGCUCGCACCCUCCGUAUUACCGCGGCGGCUGGCAC
rnacentral:rRNA from 1 species